rnacentral:rRNA from 1 species
UACAGAGGGUGCAAGCGUUGUUCGGAAUUAUUGGGCGUAAAGGGCGCGUAGGCGGUGCUGUAAGUCUGUAGUGAAAUCUCUGGGCUCAACUCAGAGUCUGCUAUAGAAACUGCAGUGCUAGAGUGUGGGAGAGGUGAGUGGAAUUCCCGGUGUAGCGGUGAAAUGCGCAGAUAUCGGGAGGAACACCGGUGGCGAAGGCGGUUCUCUGGGCCUGUACUGACGCUGAGGAGCGAAAGCGUGGGGAGCGAACAGG